rnacentral:sRNA from 1 species
GUGAGCCUCAGAAUGAGGUGAAUAACCUGCGUUCAGGCUCGAGCCGAGCGAAGCGAGACAGCAACGCGCCAGCGUUGACCCCGAAGGGCGAGGCCAAAGGCCGAGUCAUCCUGCACGACCCACCA